rnacentral:rRNA from 1 species
UACGUAGGGGGCUAGCGUUGUCCGGAAUCGAUUGGGCGUAAAGAGCGUGUAGGCUGCUCGGUAAGUCCGCUGUAAAAGUCAAAGGCUCAACCUUUGAAUGUCAGUGGAUACUGCCGGGCUAGAGUCCGGAAGAGGAGUCGUGGAAUUCCUGGUGUAGCGGUGAAUGCGCAGAUAUCAGGAGGAACACCCGUGGCGAAGGCGGUUCUCUGGGACGGUACUGACGCUGAGACGCGAAAGCGUGGGGGAGCGAACAGG